rfam:Rattus norvegicus chromosome 5, whole genome shotgun sequence.
GGAGAGAUGGCUUAGUGGUUAAGAGCACUGACUGCUCUUCCAGAGGACCUGAGUUCAAAUCUCAGCUGCCACCC